GGGCCGAGGGAGGGAGCGCGAGGCGCCCGCUCCCGGGAGUGAGAGGCUCCUGCGGCGGAACCCGAAGCAGCGACAGCGGGGGCCGGGGACGCGGGGCGCUGGGCGGGAGUGCGGGAGGGGCGGCGCCAGAUGCGCGGGGUCCGAGCGAGGGGCGGAGGCGACAGGUGCUGCGAGGGGGGUAGGCGAGGGUGCCGAGGGAGGCAGGAGGCCCUUUCUGAGGAAAACCGAAGGGGGUGAAAAUAGGGGGUGAGACUGGGGCCCGAUCCUAGGGAAUGGAAAGACUUGGAAGUCAGACUGGAAGAAGAGACGGGCCUCGGGUGUUGGGAGCGAGGGGCUGUAAAAGGGAAGAGUCGGGAGGGGAGACUGCGGGAAGGGCCCUGGCCAAAGGGGCAGUGGCAGGAGAGCCUCUAGGAAGCUCCUCAAGUCUCGUCUGAGGCUUUUGGAUACGGGUCGCGGCACAGGGAGAACGCACGCAGCUCUGUACUCUCUUGAAUUGUCCUCCUCUACUUAUUCUGUAAUUCCCAAUUAUUUUGUCCUAUAGAUGGAAGAGACCCUCUCCGCCAGAGCUCUCAAUUUUAACUAAUUUGCCCACAGUUUUCCAAAAAAUCUCAGUCACGGUAUUUGCUCGAGUGUUUUUUAGCACAUGCUUAUAUAAAUAUGUAGUUUUACCACGCGCUUAUAUAAACAUAUAGUACCGAAAUGUGAUACAGCUGUACAAGAAGGAAAUGGGAAAGACGUGGAAAGGGAAACAAUAUUCUGCCCACAGAAAGUAAAAUACGUAAGCUACAGAGGAAUUGUGAAGGGCGAGGCCAGUACAAGGUCACAUAUUAAAGGAAGAAUAAAUGUGAUAUAGAAGUGAAAAGAGUGGUAAGAGGAAAUUAGAAGCAUGAUGCCUAGGCAGCGUGUUCAAAGACUGACCUCCCCACCCUCCCCCCACAAAAAGAAAAAAAAAGAAAAAAGACUGGCAAAGAAUUAGAUCAUCUUCCUUGCUGACAAGUAUCAUCUAGGAAUCACUCUACCUCGCUGGCAAUUUUGAGAAAAUAGCCAGUUAUUUUUGUGCUGAACUUUCAUCUGGUUAAGGGUCAUUCCUUCAGCAUUCAACUAAUAUUUACUCUCCUAUAUCCUCACCCACCCCAUGGAAAGAAUAUAUGUCACUUCAUCAACAAAAGGCUUGGCCAUGUGACUUUCUUUAGCCAAUGGAAUGUCAGUAGAUGUAAUUUACCACAUCCUUGCAGAAGUUUUAGAUGUGCCUGCAUGAAUUGACUUGGUCUCUUGAGCUUCUGAUCUCUACCAAAAGAAGCGCUUUCCUCAGGCAAUCCAGGACUGCAAAAACACAUACAGCCCAGCAAAGCUGUAGCCAACGCAAAGGCCUGUAAGCAUGAAAUAAAUCUUUAUUAUUAUAAGCCACUGACGUCUUGGGGUUGUUUCUUACUAUAGCAAACAUUGACUAAUACAAGUGUUGACUUUAUAAGCACACUGUAAGAAAAGCCAUAAGCAAUAUAAACAAAAGGCAGGAUGUUUGAAUUUACUUUCAAAACAAAAAGAUGCUAAUGUUAUACACAGAUUGUGGAAUAUGCUACAAUUGUGUCAUCCUUAACACAGCUACUUUUUCACCUUUUAGUACCAGAGUGUAUGCAUAAGAUGCGAAUAUUUAGGAGCCAGACAGUAACCUAUAGGUAUGCCUAUGUGUCUAUAUAUUUGUGUGAUUAAUAGCUGUGGAUCUGUCAUGAUUCUUCUUACAUUAUAAAAUUUAAAAGGACAGUGAGUCAUUUUUAUAAUAAAAUCUAUUGCCAUCAUUCUAAUUCAACCCAAAUAACUUAGAUGGGACAGAAAGUCUGUUUUACCCUAAUAAAAUAGAACUUAAGGCUUAGUAAAUGCUUCAGACAGUUUUCUGUAUGUACCAGUGACCACAAAAAAAAAAUAAUAAUAAGUAUUGUAUGACUACAAUGUUACAUAACUAUAUACCAUGGAUAUGUGCGAUAAUAAAAAGAGCAAGAAUACCAAA